AAAUGAAAUGAAAUGAAAUAAUCUGUCUGUCGAGAGAGUGGAAUAAAAGACUGUACUCUUGACGACAUAUUCUUAUGUUGUUUGUUGUUGCUCUUUGAUUCUGUUGUUGUUGUUGUUGUUGUUGCUCUCGUCCUUUUUGGUUCUUGGAGUA
rnacentral:ribozyme from 1 species